GGGGCGGGGCUGCAGUGGGAGUAACAGUGGCUAUCGGCCCCUUCCAGGUGGCUGGAGGACGUCGUAUUACAACGUGAGCACCCGUUUCCAAUAGUGGACCGAGAGGGGCCGACCCGAAAAGCAUAGUGACUUCCGCCUUGCUUCUCAUUGCUUCUUGGGAGUUGAAGUUUCCUACCGAAUCUUCCAUUUUACUUUGGCUAGGGUCUCACUUUGCCCAGGCUGGAGUGCAGUGGUAGGUUCACAGGUCACCUCCAACUCUGAGCUCAAGUAAUCCUCCUACUUAAGACUGUGGAGUAGCUGGAACUGCAGGUG